GGUAAUAUUGGUUCUGUAACGGGGUGGAUCCGACGCCUCUCGAAGGCUACUAUAGGCUCUCCUACCCAACU
rnacentral:ribozyme from 1 species